UACAGAGGCCCCAAGCGUUACUGAGAAUCACUGGGUUUAAAGGGUGCGUAGGUGGCGCGUUAAGUCCGUUGUGAAAUCCCUUGGCUCAACCAAGGAAAUGCUUCGGAUACUGGCGUGCUUGAGGCUAGUAGGGGUCACUGGAACUGACGGUGGAGCGGUGAAAUGCGUAGAUAUCGUCAGGAACGCCGAUGGUGAAGACAGGUGACUGGGCUAGUUCUGACACUGAGGCACGAAAGCGUGGGGAGCGAGCGGG
rnacentral:rRNA from 1 species